AACGAACGCUGGCGGCAUGCCUAACACAUGCAAGUCGAACGAAGGCUUCGGCCUUAGUGGCGCACGGGUGCGUAACGCGUGGGAAUCUGCCCCUCGGUUCGGAAUAACUCAGAGAAAUUUGAGCUAAUACCGGAUAAUGACUUCGGUCCAAAGAUUUAUCGCCGAGGGAUGAGCCCGCGUAGGAUUAGCUAGUUGGUGGGGUAAAGGCCUACCAAGGCGACGAUCCUUAGCUGGUCUGAGAGGAUGAUCAGCCACACUGGGACUGAGACACGGCCCAGACUCCUACGGGAGGCAGCAGUGGGGAAUAUUGGACAAUGGGCGAAAGCCUGAUCCAGCAAUGCCGCGUGAGUGAUGAAGGCCUUAGGGUUGUAAAGCUCUUUUACCAGGGAUGAUAAUGACAGUACCUGGAGAAUAAGCUCCGGCUAACUCCGUG
rnacentral:rRNA from 1 species